AAAGUCAUUUAAUCUCUCCAGGCCCAUUUCCCUUUCUGUAAAAUUGAGUAAUCAUACCUAAGGGGGAGGUGAUUUAGCAAUGAGAUGAUUUAACACACUUCACACAGGGUGAGCGCGCAGGUGAUAGUUGGUAUUAUUAUUAAUGCUGCCUUUGGUGGCAGGGAAGACUUUCAGAAAGGCCUGUGAUUAUUUUACUGGCUCAGAAAAUCUAGGAAGUCAGAGUGGCUCCAUGGCUUUGAGGAUCUGCCGGUGACUUUAUCCACAGUGUUUCUGCUGAAAAUCCAGAGGGAACUGGAAGUUAAGCCAGUUCGGUGGGUUCAAGAGAACUGGUGUAUUAAGCCCAGUGAAGCACAGGUAUUUGGGGCUACCAAAAACCCAGUGAGGUGAGGCCUCACACUCAGGGAAACCUCUGGGACAAGGAGGAGGGGAUCGGUUCAGACAUCGGCUCAGUAACGGCAGGUUUCUAACUGGGCCGAAGGUGAGGCCUGCCUGGGGGCAGGACGACUCUCCAAGCCCAGCUUGGCUGCUUGCCUCCUACUGUGAGGAGGAGGAGAUGGAGUUAAACCACGUGUUCCAGCCAACAGCAUGUGCGAAGACUGUGUGACAAGGAGGAGCAGAGCAUGGCCAGUGUGGCUGGAGCACAAAGCAGGGGGUGGCAGAGGCCAGCCCUGCAGGGCCUCGUAGACCCUGCCAAGAGCAGUGAGAAAAAAUUGGAAGGUUGUAAAUGGGGGUGGUAGAGUUGGGGACUGUAACGUGAUCAGAUUUGCAAUUUUGAAAAGCCUGUUCUGGUCAGUGGGUCCAGAGUGGACACAGGAAGACCAGUUGGGAGGGUAUUAACCCCUGUGGAUGAACACAGUCUGAGGCCUAUUCAUGCUUUUCUGGGUCCUUCUGUGAAUGUAGGUGUGUACUGUGCAGA